rnacentral:rRNA from 1 species
UACGUAGGGUGCGAGCGUUAAUCGGAAUUACUGGGCGUAAAGCGUGCGCAGGCGGUUCAUUAAGUUCGCUGUGAAAGCCCCGGGCUCAACCUGGGAAUUGCAUUGGAAACUGGCGGGCUUGAGUGUGGCAGAGGGGGGUGGAAUUCCACGUGUAGCAGUGAAAUGCGUAGAGAUGUGGAGGAACACCGAUGGCGAAGGCAGCCCCCUGGGCUAACACUGACGCUCAGGCACGAAAGCGUGGGGAGCAAACAGG